rnacentral:rRNA from 1 species
GACGAACGCUGGCGGCGUGCCUAAUACAUGCAAGUUGAGCGAUGAAGCUUGGUGCUUGCACCAAUUUGAAGAGCAGCGAACGGGUGAGUAACGCGUGGGGAAUCUGCCUUUGAGCGGGGGACAACAUUUGGAAACGAAUGCUAAUACCGCAUAAUAACUUUAAACAUAAGUUUUAAGUUUGAAAGAUGCAAUUGCAUCACUCAAAGAUGAUCCCGCGUUGUAUUAGCUAGUUGGUGAGGUAAAGGCUCACCAAGGCGAUGAUACAUAGCCGACCUGAGAGGGUGAUCGGCCACAUUGGGACUGAGACACGGCCCAAACUCCUACGGGAGGCAGCAGUAGGGAAUCUUCGGCAAUGGACGAAAGUCUGACCGAGCAACGCCGCGUGAGUGAAGAAGGUUUUCGGAUCGUAAAACACUGUUGGUAGAGAAGAACGUUGGUGAGAGUGGAAAGCUCAUCAAGUGACGGUAACUACCCAGAAAGGGACGGCUAACUACGUG